rnacentral:sRNA from 1 species
AGAGAAGUGACUGGCAUGCUC